CCUACGGGAGGCAGCAGUGGGGAAUUUUGGACAAUGGGCGCAAGCCUGAUCCAGCAAUGCCGCGUGAGUGAAGAAGGCCUUCGGGUUGUAAAGCUCUUUUGUCAGGGAAGAAACGGUUGGGGCUAAUAUCCUCGGCUAAUGACGGUACCUGAAGAAUAAGCACCGGCUAACUACGUGCCAGCAGCCGCGGUAAUACGUAGGGUGCAAGCGUUAAUCGGAAUUACUGGGCGUAAAGCGUGCGCAGGCGGUUUUGUAAGUCUGUCGUGAAAGCCCCGGGCUUAACCUGGGAAUUGCGAUGGAGACUGCAAGGCUUGAAUCUGGCAGAGGGGGGUAGAAUUCCACGUGUAGCAGUGAAAUGCGUAGAGAUGUGGAGGAACACCGAUGGCGAAGGCAGCCCCCUGGGUCAAGAUUGACGCUCAUGCACGAAAGCGUGGGGAGCAAACAGGAUUAGAUACCCUGGUAGUCCACGCCCUAAACGAUGUCUACUAGUUGUCGGGUCUUAAUUGACUUGGUAACGCAGCUAACGCGUGAAGUAGACCGCCUGGGGAGUACGGUCGCAAGAUUAAAACUUAAAUGAAUUGACGG
rnacentral:rRNA from 1 species